AAAAUUUACUAGUGUUUUUCAUAUCUGAUUAUUCUCUCCUUCCAGACCUCCUUGCAGUUAGGCAGGGUCAUAUGACUAGUUCUAGCCAGUGAGAUGCAAGUGAAAUCCAUGCAUUUUAUUUCCAGUUGAAGCUUUUAAGAACAAGUAAGUCACUUCCAUAAUCUCUAUUCCUCUCUGACAGUGACAUGGAAGCAGUUUAUUGAAAUGGCAGAACUCAACAAAUAACGCAGAGUGACUACUCUGGAAAGACAGUUGACUGACAUCAGACUUGUGCAUAGUAAAAUCUUCACCACCCAUCCCCCACUCCUGGCUUUCCAUCUAUAUGUGAAAAUCUCUCUGCAUCAGCCAAUAACAAGAAUUCUAGGUUUCAUGUUCCUCUGAGGUCUGAAUCUCUUCAUUCAUUGGUUGGAUAGAUGACAAAAGUAUGUAUUAACAAAUCAUUUUUGAAAAGUCCUUUUAAAUUAUUUCUAUUAUUCUCUCAUACAUCUUAGUGAGGGAAAAAAAGGAAUUUAUUUUCUUCUUUUCCAUUGUAAAGGAGGUUAAAUGCUGUUCCUCAGGAAAGCUGGCGAUAUACCAAUAGAAGAAGUACCCAAGACCUUUAGCAUCAUUGAUCUGCCUU
rnacentral:lncRNA from 1 species